UCCAAUCCCCUCACAAAUCGAACAAGACCUAGGCAUUUGAGACCCUUGCUAUACAUAACGACCAACAUCAUCAAAGUCUCCUUGCUAAAUGUCGUAUCGAUGAUAUUUGGACGUGCGGACAUUCGAGCGCGCAUCAAGUGGCCAGGGUGGUGGACGACAACGACACGCAGUGUAGUCUGAAAUCUUGCAUUAUUAAACCAUGAUUCCAGCCAAGUAAUUAAACAUUACUUGACUCUGUUCGGCUAGCUAUGACUGGUGGUUGAUGUUGAUUUGUUGUGAGAGAAAAGUACUGCUGGUUAGUUGUUGGCUGGUGGCUAGUGCUGAUUUUGUGUGAUAGAAAAGUAUUGCUGAUUGGUUGGCUGACAACCCAA